rnacentral:rRNA from 1 species
UACAGAGGUCUCAAGCGUUGUUCGGAUUCAUUGGGCGUAAAGGGUGCGUAGGUGGCGGGGCAAGUCAGGUGUGAAAUCCCGGAGCUCAACUCCGGAACUGCACUUGAUACUGCUUUGCUAGAGUACUGGAGAGGAGAUUGGAAUUUACGGUGUAGCAGUGAAAUGCGUAGAUAUCGUAAGGAAGACCAGUGGCGAAGGCGAAUCUCUGGACAGUUACUGACACUGAGGCACGAAGGCCAGGGGAGCAAACGGG